UCUGAAUCAAGUUUUAAUUAUUUUUAUUAUUAUAUCUAUAUUUUUUUAUAUUAUUAUACCUAUAAUUUCAUAGCUAGAUUUUUUAUGCUGUCCACAUACCAGACUGAUUUUAAUCUGGUACACUAUGAUCAAACUGAUGAUUUUCCUAGGUGGGCUCGAUCAGUAUGGAGACGACGGCGAGUUCACCUACUGCUGGCACGAUGAGUGACAAGGGCUGUUGCAAUAAGAAACCCCACAUUCGUAAGAGUCAAAUCUACUGAUCUGAAUCAAGUUUUAAUUAUUUUUAUUAUUAUAUCUAUAUUUUUUAAUAUUAUUAUAUCUAUAAUUUCAUAGCUAGACUUUUUUAUGCUGUCCACAUACCAGACUGAUUUUAAUCUGGUACACUAUGAUCAAACUGAUGAUUUUCCUAGGUGGGCUCGAUCAGUAUGGAGACGACGGCGAGUUCACCUACUGCUGGCACGAUGAGUGACAAGGGCUGUUGCAAUAAGAAACCCCACAUUCGCAAGAGUCAAAUCUACUGAUCUGAAUCAAGUUUUAAUUAUUUUUAUUAUUAUAUCUAUAUUUUUUAAUAUUAUUAUAUCUAUAAUUUCAUAGCUAGAUUUUUUUAUGCUGUCCACAUACCAGACUGAUUUUAAUCUGGUACACUAUGAUCAAACUGAUGAUUUUCCUAGGUGGGCUCGAUCAGUAUGGAGACGACGGCGAGUUCACCUACUGCUGGCACGAUGAGUGACAAGGGCUGUUGCAAUAAGAAACCCCACAUUCGUAAGAGUCAAAUCUACUGAUCUGAAUCAAGUUUUAAUUAUUUUUAUUAUUAUAUCUAUAUUUUUUAAUAUUAUUAUAUCUAUAAUUUCAUAGCUAGAUUUUUUUAUGCUGUCCACAUACCAGACUGAUUUUAAUCUGGUACACUAUGAUCAAACUGAUGAUUUUCCUAGGUGGGCUCGAUCAGUAUGGAGACGACGGCGAGUUCACCUACUGCUGGCACGAUGAGUGACAAGGGCUGUUGCAAUAAGAAACCCCACAUUCGCAAGAGUCAAAUCUACUGAUUUGAAUCAAGUUUUAAUUUUUUUUUUUUAUUAUUAUAUCUAUAUUUUUUAAUAUUAUUAUAUCUAUAAUUUCAUAGCUAGAUUUUUUUAUGCUGUCCACAUACCAGACUGAUUUUAAUCUGGUACACUAUGAUCAAACUGAUGAUUUUCCUAGGUGGGCUCGAUCAGUAUGGAGACGACGGCGAGUUCACCUACUGCUGGCACGAUGAGUGACAAGGGCUGUUGCAAUAAGAAACCCCACAUUCGCAAGAGUCAAAUCUACUGAUUUGAAUCAAGUUUUAAUUAUUUUUAUUAUUAUAUCUAUAUUUUUUUAUAUUAUUAUACCUAUAAUUUCAUAGCUAACUUUUUUAUGCUGUCCACAUACCAGACUGAUUUUAAUCUGGUACACUAUGAUCAAACUGAUGAUUUUCCUAGGUGGGCUCGAUCAGUAUGGAGACGACGGCGAGUUCACCUACUGCUGGCACGAUGAGUGACAAGGGCUGUUGCAAUAAGAAACCCCACAUUCGUAAGAGUCAAAUCUACUGAUCUGAAUCAAGUUUUAAUUAUUUUUAUUAUUAUAUCUAUAUUUUUUAAUAUUAUUAUAUCUAUAAUUUCAUAGCUAGAUUUUUUUAUGCUGUCCACAUACCAGACUGAUUUUAAUCUGGUACACUAUGAUCAAACUGAUGAUUUUCCUAGGUGGGCUCGAUCAGUAUGGAGACGACGGCGAGUUCACCUACUGCUGGCACGAUGAGUGACAAGGGCUGUUGCAAUAAGAAACCCCACAUUCACAAGGGUCAAAUCUACUGAUCUGAAUCAAGUUUUAAUUAUUUUUAUUAUUAUAUCUAUAUUUUUUAAUAUUAUUAUAUCUAUAAUUUCAUAGCUAGAUUUUUUUAUGCUGUCCACAUACCAGACUGAUUUUAAUCUGGUACACUAUGAUCAAACUGAUGAUUUUCCUAGGUGGGCUCGAUCAGUAUGGAGACGACGGCGAGUUCACCUACUGCUGGCACGAUGAGUGACAAGGGCUGUUGCAAUAAGAAACCCCACAUUCGUAAGAGUCAAAUCUACUGAUCUGAAUCAAGUUUUAAUUAUUUUUAUUAUUAUAUCUAUAUUUUUUAAUAUUAUUAUAUCUAUAAUUUCAUAGCUAGAUUUUUUUAUGCUGUCCACAUACCAGACUGAUUUUAAUCUGGUACACUAUGAUCAAACUGAUGAUUUUCCUAGGUGGGCUCGAUCAGUAUGGAGACGACGGCGAGUUCACCUACUGCUGGCACGAUGAGUGACAAGGGCUGUUGCAAUAAGAAACCCCACAUUCGCAAGAGUCAAAUCUACUGAUCUGAAUCAAGUUUUAAUUAUUUUUAUUAUUAUAUCUAUAUUUUUUAAUAUUAUUAUAUCUAUAAUUUCAUAGCUAGAUUUUUUUAUGCUGUCCACAUACCAGACUGAUUUUAAUCUGGUACACUAUGAUCAAACUGAUGAUUUUCCUAGGUGGGCUCGAUCAGUAUGGAGACGACGGCGAGUUCACCUACUGCUGGCACGAUGAGUGACAAGGGCUGUUGCAAUAAGAAACCCCACAUUCGCAAGAGUCAAAUCUACUGAUUUGAAUCAAGUUUUAAUUACUUUAUUUUUUAUUAUUAUAUCUAUAUUUUUUUAUAUUAUUAUACCUAUAAUUUCAUAGCUAACUUUUUUAUGCUGUCCACAUACCAGACUGAUUUUAAUCUGGUACACUAUGAUCAAACUGAUGAUUUUCCUAGGUGGGCUCGAUCAGUAUGGAGACGACGGCGAGUUCACCUACUGCUGGCACGAUGAGUGACAAGGGCUGUUCCAAUAAGAAACCCCACAUUCGCAAGAGUCAAAUCUACUGAUUUGAAUCAAGUUUUAAUUACUGUAAUAUUUUUUAUU